rnacentral:pre_miRNA from 1 species
AUCUUUUGUCGUUCAACUUUGUGACGUAAAGUUGAACGACAAAAGAUGCUCGGAGACGUCACAAAGUUGAACGACAAAAGAU